AAUCUAAAUAUUCAACAAUGAUUUUAAAUUGCAAAUUUAAAGGUAAAUAUUUAAUUUUUU
rnacentral:tRNA from 1 species